AUUGAACGCUGGCGGCAUGCUUUACACAUGCAAGUCGAACGGUAACAGGCCGCAAGGUGCUGACGAGUGGCGAACGGGUGAGUAAUGCAUCGGAACGUGCCCAGUCGUGGGGGAUAACGCAGCGAAAGCUGCGCUAAUACCGCAUACGAUCUAUGGAUGAAAGCGGGGGACCGUAAGGCCUCGCGCGAUUGGAGCGGCCGAUGUCAGAUUAGGUAGUUGGUGGGGUAAAGGCUCACCAGGCCAACGAUCUGUAGCUGGUCUGAGAGGACGACCAGACACACUGGGACUGAGACACGGCCCAGACUCCUACGGGAGGCAGCAGUGGGGAAUUUUGGACAAUGGGCGCAAGCCUGAUCCAGCAAUGCCGCGUGCAGGAAGAAGGCCUUCGGGUUGUAAACUGCUUUUGUACGGAACGAAAAGGCUCUGGAUAAUACCUGGGGCUCAUGACGGUACCGUAAGAAUAAGCACCGGCUAACUACGUGCCAGCCGCCGCGGUAACAC
rnacentral:rRNA from 1 species